UCCUUCUUUCUUCUUCUUCUCUGCUUUCCCUCUUUCUUUUCUCUGUUCUUUCUGCUGAAAUUUUGUGAGUCGCGUAAGGGUUUGUUGAUAAGAAAUUGAUUGAUGAAGAAGAAUCAUCAAAUAUGGAGGUGAUGAUGUUGUGUAUUGGGGAAGAGAACUGUUAGAGAUUGAAGAGUUAAAUCAGAAGAAAUCUAAGUUAGGGUUUGUAAAUUAAGUAUUGGGUUCGUAUGGAAUAGAUAAGUUAAUUAGGUUGUUGAUGGAUGAAGAAUAAAAGGGUUGAGGUUUGAUUGCAGUUUUGAAGUUGUUUUAGAGAUGAUCAAAGAAUUAGGGUUUCAUAAGAUGGACUCAAUAGAGGAUUGAGAGAUGAAAUUGAUGUUUUAGGAAGGGGAUUAGAGAUGGGUUUGGUUGAAUUGAGGAGUUAUAAUUAUGUAUUGAACUCGAAUCAGAAAACAAGGGAUUAAGAAUUACUUUUAGGGUUUCUAUGAGCAUAAGUAUUUGAGAUGGAGAUUAUGUGAUGAAGACUAAGGGUCGGUUCUGUUAAUAAGAAGGCGGUGUAGUUGUUGUUGGUAUUGGUUCAAGACUCGGGAGAAAAUGUUGAAUAAGAGUUUGCAUUCAAUUUCUUCAACAAGACUCAUUUGAGGAUAGUGAUGAAGAUUGUUGAGUAUUGGGUAAUUAGGUAUAUUAAGUGGAGUUGCUUGUGAAAGUUAGUUUCAGAUGAUGAAAUUGAUGGUGUUGGCUAAGUUCCAGAUUUGAAGAUGAUAAUCCUAGGGUUCUAGUUGAGAUGUUUUGGAGGAAAAGCAAUUCAGGGGAUGCUAAUUCUUGGGUAAGACUUUAAUUCUGUUAAAGUUUGGCAUUUUAGUUUAAAUUGUUUAGAUUAUUGAAUUUAUGUGAUUUUGAAUGAGACUGAAGUUGAGUUGAGUAUAAUAUGAAGCUGUGGUUGUUUGUAAGGAUUGUGUUAGAUCACAGGGAGGAAGAAAAGAUGGGGUUGUCAUUAUGUUAUUUUGGAUAUGAGAUGUUGAUAAUCCUAGGAUGUUUAGAUGUUAAAUGAAUUGAGUUUAAGGAAGGUGUUGUUGCUGUUGUUGUUGUAGUUUGAAUGAAUGAGUGAUUUCAAGAGAUGGCUAUGAACAACUGUGGUUAAUGGAUUGAGAAUGAUCUCAAUUGAAGUUGCAGAAUGAAUGAAUUACAGAUUCAAUGGACUGGAUUGUGUAUGUUAGAAAUGGAAUGGUGUUGUAGUGUAUGUCUGAUAAGAUAACAAUGAAAUAGAAAAUGAGUUAUAGUUGUGAGCUAAGAUUGUGUUUGAAUUACAAGAGAACUGAUGCAGGGAUUGAGUUUUGAGGAUUGGUAUUGGGAUGAAAUACAAGGAGGAAAGUUGAGAUUGUCUUUUAGUUGAAUGAGUUGAUAUAGUGAAAAUAAUUCAGAGUGAUGAUUGUAUGUUGUAGGUAGUGACAUCAUUGAAAGAUUGGAAAUGCUACCUAAAGUUAGUCUAUAUUAACAACGAUCGAAUCAAAGGAUGAACCAAUGGAUUGUGGAUCUUGAGGUAGGUGUGACUUGUCAUCAAAAGAGUUUCAGAGACAGACCAGAGUUGCGCAGCGAAAGCUCCGAGAAGUUGACUUCUUUAGUUGGUUGUAAUCUGAUAUGUUUAUCAUGUUGUAUAUUCUAUUUGUCAACCAAAUGACUAUUGUAUAUGUAUCAUUUGAGAGAAGAUCUUGUAUAUAUAUUUCUGAGCGGGGUUAGUUUUGGGUUAAGUUUAUAGCAGAUUCCUUAAUCAAAUGCUUAUGUAUAUGAUUCAGAUUCUUAGUGACUCUUUAUUU